GUGUAGUCCUGAGAACAAAUUCAAGAAAUAGUGUGCUGCAGUGCAGCCAUAGGCAGCCACACACGUCAGAACAUAGGGUUCCUGCCGGCAGGGUCUAUAAUUACCAGUUUGUCUGUGCGAUGGCUCCAUACAUG
rnacentral:snoRNA from 1 species